rnacentral:lncRNA from 1 species
GACUGUUCUGGAAUUGAAGAUGCGUUUGGUUGCUCCUCUUCCCUUCGUUCCGUUGAAUGUUGUUCUGGUUCUUUCUGAUUUUCCUCAACUUCAGUAACCACAGGUUCACCUUUUACUGUUUCUGUAGGCUCAACUUCAGUAGCCACAGGUUCUUCUUUUACCGUUUCUGUAGCUUGAACUUCAGUAGCCACAGGUUCUUCUUUUACCAUUUCUCUAGGAUCAACUUCAGUAACCACAGGUUUGACUUUUACUGAUUCUGUCAGAUCAACUUCAGUAACCAGGGGUUCUUUUACUGUUUUUGUAAUUUCAACUUCUGUAGCCACAGCUUCUUCUUUUACUGUCUCUGUAGGAUCAACUUCAGUAACUAUAGGUUCGUCUUUUACCGUUUCUGUUGCCUCGAAUUCAGUAGCUGCAGGUUCAUCUUUUACCAUUUCUGUAGGCUCAACUACAGUUGUCACAGGUUCUUCUUUUACGGUUUCUGUAGCUUCAACUUCAGUAGCCACAGAUUCUUCUUUUACUGUUUCUGUAGCUUCAACUUCAGUAGCCACUGGUUCUUCUUUUACUGUUUCUGUAGCUUCAACUUCAGUAGCCACUGGUUCUUCUUUUACUGUUUCUGUAGCUUCAACUUCAGUAGCUGCAGGUUCGUCUUUUACCGUUUCUGUAGCCUCAACUUCAGUUGCCACAGGUUCUUCUUUUACCGUUUCUGUAGGCUCAACUUCAGUAGCCACGGGUUCUUCUUUUACUGUUUCUGUAGCUUCAGCUUCAGUAGCUAGAGGUUCUUCUUUUACCGUUUCUGUAGGAUCAACUUCAGUAACCACAGGUUCGUCUUUUACGGUUUCUGUAACCUUAACUUCAGUAGCUGCAGGUUCUUCUUUUACUGUUUCCGUAGCCUCAACUUCAGUAGCCACAAGUUCUUCUUUUAGUGUUUCUGUAGCCUCAACUUCAGUAACCACGGGUUCUUCUUUUACUAUCUCUGCA